UUCAUCAGAAACUGCUGGCUUGAGCUCUAGAACACGCUCACGAUCCAGCAAACGACGCUAUACGACGCAGAAUCGCCGAAUAGACGCCAGCCUCGCCUCGCGAGCGGCUUUCGGGUUGUUGGAUGCCCGAUUGACGAAGACGGCGAUAGUCCCGUCGACGCCUCGCAGCACAGCGCCAGCUGUAGGAUCCUCUAGAGUCCACGACCGCUCGCUCGUACGGCUGUAUGACCCGCAGGUGUGGCGCCGUGUCCCGGGACGCGCCUUUCCAAACCCUCACCCGCUUCGACGUCCCCGUCAUCGCGCCCGUCGCCGCGCCCGCCAACUGCCGCAUGGUCGUCGACCAUCUGCUGCUCGAUGGUAUCCAUUCGGACGUCGCUGGCGGAUCUACCGAGGCUGCCGAAGUGCGUCGCGUUCGAUCCUUCGCUGCUGACGCUGCUUGAGGUGCUGGGCGGAGCAGGGAUGAGGGAGGCAUCGAAGGCUGGAGCUUCGUCGAUCUCUGGCACAUCCAGGACUGGGAUGACAACGCCGCUGGGGCUUGUGUCACCCCCCGGAGACGGAAUCGAGGGAGGGACGCUCGACGACCGCCCGAAGAAACGGUGGAAGGCGCUGCUGAGCAUGCUGACCGUUGUGGACGGCAUUGAGGCUGUUCUCUGGGCCUGCAGGGUGGCAGAGCUGCUUAGCGAGUGAUGGGACGACCUCUACCCCGGACCGCUCCUCGCUCGCGCUGAUUCGGCUCUCGCUCUCGACGCUCAUCGCUCGUCCCUGCUGGUUCUUUGCUCUGGACGCGUAUCUCUUGUGCUUUCUCCCAGCGAUCCGCUCUUCCAGCCUCCCGCCGUUCGUGUCGUUGCUUCCGACGGGCCUGCAGUUUGAUGAAGAAUGAACGAGGUCGUAGACUGUAGACACGCAGAUUGUUGCAAUGCCAGUACGUUCAC
rnacentral:misc_RNA from 1 species